CCUACGGGGGGCAGCAGUGGGGAAUUUUGGACAAUGGGCGAAAGCCUGAUCCAGCAAUGCCGCGUGCAGGAAGAAGGCCUUCGGGUUGUAAACUGCUUUUGUACGGAACGAAACGGUCUGCUUUAAUACAGUGGGCUAAUGACGGUACCGUAAGAAUAAGCACCGGCUAACUACGUGCCAGCAGCCGCGGUAAUACGUAGGGUGCGAGCGUUAAUCGGAAUUACUGGGCGUAAAGCGUGCGCAGGCGGUUAUAUAAGACAGUUGUGAAAUCCCCGGGCUCAACCUGGGAAUUGCAUCUGUGACUGUAUAGCUAGAGUACGGUAGAGGGGGAUGGAAUUCCGCGUGUAGCAGUGAAAUGCGUAGAUAUGCGGAGGAACACCGAUGGCGAAGGCAAUCCCCUGGACCUGUACUGACGCUCAUGCACGAAAGCGUGGGGAGCAAACAGGAUUAGAUACCCUUGUAGUC
rnacentral:rRNA from 1 species